rnacentral:ncRNA from 15 species
CAAAUAUAGUCGGGGGGCCUGAAGGCUGAGAUCGCAUAGUGCGAAACCCGUUGAACCUGAUUCAGUUAAUACUGGCGUAGGGAACUAUAAGUCUUGUUUU